rnacentral:rRNA from 1 species
UGACUGACUGAGGCUACCUUGUUACGACUUCACCCCAAUCAUCGCCCCCACCUUCGACGGUCGGUUCCUUUCGGCCCUUAGCCGGCUUCGGGUGUGAAUGACUUUCGUGGUGUGACGGGCGGUGUGUACAAGGCCCGGGAACGUAUUCACCGCAGUAUGCUGACCUGCGAUUACUAGCGAUUCCGACUUCAUGCANGCGAGUUUCAGCCUGCAAUCCGAACUGAGAGAUGCUUUUAGGGUUCCGCUCUGCCUCGCGACUUCGCUUCCCUCUGUUCAUCCCAUUGUAGUACGUGUG